rnacentral:piRNA from 1 species
UGAGUAAAGGUUUUGUGCCACUUGUAGC